UACGGAGGGUGCAAGCGUUGUCCGGAUUUAUUGGGUUUAAAGGGUGCGUAGGCGGCUAUUUAAGUCAGUGGUGAAAUCCUUCAGCUUAACUGGAGAACUGCCAUUGAUACUGAAUAGCUUGAGUAUAGUUGAGGUAGGCGGAAUUGACAGUGUAGCGGUGAAAUGCUUAGAUAUUGUCAAGAACACCGAUUGCGAAGGCAGCUUACUAAACUAUAACUGACGCUGAGGCACGAAAGCGUGGGGAUCAAACAGG
rnacentral:rRNA from 1 species